GACCGCCUCCGCCACCGCUGCUCCCCAUCUUCUUCUCCAUCCUCCAUCCCCCAAUUCAAUCUUAUCCAUCUUCCUCUCCCUCGUCCCCGCCACCACCGGCAACCUCGGUGCCCCUCUCCCUAACCGCCACUGCCCCCACCCUCUCCCCCAUCCCCCGCUCUCACCUUCUGUCCUUAAACUAGGCGGCCCCCAGAACGAGAAGGUUGAGGCGCUUCCCGAUUUGUGGCGGCUGCUUCCGAAUCUGCCGAGCAGCGCAAGAGGUCGGCUCCUUCUCCGCGUUGUUCUGCGCCAAGGUGAGGCACUCAAUACCGUGGCCGGAUGGAGGUUGGGUGAUUUCCUUCCCUGACCUCGCCGCCUAGCCACUCCACCGCGAGCUUCUCGCCCCCAGGUUGUUCUUCCCCUGCUCACUCCCUCCCUCUUCCUCUCCAUGGAUUGGUUGCUGCUGCAUGCUUCUGCUCAAGUACCAGUCAUCUCUUGCGUUGGUGCUUCUGCUGUGUGGAUUUGUUGAUAUUGUUGAUAUUGCUUAGCUAGUGUGGAUGACUAGAUGUGGGUGCGUGACUGUGCUAACAUAUUAGAAUAUUUUCAAAUAAAAAUAACAAUUAGUGCUUAAGUAAUAAUUUAUGGGUUGAGUUCUGCGCAUAGUUAAAUGUAGCAGCAGCAUACAGUUUUCACAGUGCGGUGCACACUGCCGAGCAUGCAUUUUUGUAUGUAGAAAUCUCAAAUCUUUGUAACACAACACUUGCUGGCAUUGGGUAAAUGACUUGCCUUCCAUUAACUAUUGUCUUUCAUUUUAUAAAAAGAAAAAAGAUUAUCUCUUGCGUGCAAAUGUACUCUGUGAGUUAAUAAUACAUCCACGUGUAUGUGUAGUUCAUUGGGCCUGUAGCUCACUAGUUUGUGUUUCCCCUGUAAUGUUUACCUCUGCUAUCAUGAUGAAUUUGGCUUUGUAGUCCGGUCCUUGACAUAUAGUUCUUGUUUGAAGAAUUAGUAUUUUAAAAUUUUAGUGCCCACGUAACAUCAGUACCUUGGAAUAUACUGCUUGUUGGAAGGAUUAACAUUUUAUAUCCUGAACAUUUAUUAUUGCAGCUGCUCUUUAGCUACAUAGCUACAUAAUAACAAAUCUGACUUGAACUUUAUAUGUUUAUAUUACAUGGCAAGUUGAUUGUGUAGCCUAUGUACAGAGAAGCUAAGGUGUAGAUAAGUUCAGAAAGGUGUCUCGUUUGGCUAGAGUGUGAUGAAGUAGUGUGGAAUUGCUCUGUACCUUUUAUACAUUUGUGCGUGGAAUCUGUUAUUAAUCUGUACAACAUCAGCACUAGUAAUUUAAUGGUAUCGAUUCAGUAUCUUAACUACUGGGCCACCAGUCAGCCAUGAAUCUUUGUCUGUACAACAUCAAUAGUGAAACUUUUAUAUUAUUGCAGUAUCUCGACAACAUAAGUACUACCAAGCAUGUAUAUUUUUCUGUAGAAACGACUUCUUCCAUUAACUAUAGUCCUGCAUUUUUCUAGAAAAAUAGUCUGAUCUCUUGCAUGCAAAUGUUCUCUGCGAUACUAAUACAUCCAUGUGUAUGGGUACUACUGGGGCCUGUAGCUCACUAGUUUGUGGUUCCCUGCAAUUAUUUACCUCUGCUAUCAUGCUGGUUUCGGCUUUGUAGUAAGGUCCUCGACAUACUUCUCGUUCAAAGAAUUAGCACUUUAAAAUUUUAGUUUGCCUACAUAACAUCAGUACCUUGGAAUAUAGUUCCUGUUGGAACGAUUAACAUUUUGUAUUCUGCACAUUUGUUAUUGCAGCUGCUCUUUAGCUGUAUAACAUCAAAUCUGGACUUGAACUAUAAAUAUUUAGAUUAUAUGACAAGUUAAUUGUGCUACUUUUUAUUCGCCGGUGUUAGUUACUAUGAAGUAGCUGACUGGAGCCAACGAUGGAUGCUUAGCCUCUAGUUAUAAGGAUUCCCUGCUGCUGCUUUUGCUACCUCUUCUGUUCCCUGAAUGAAUGGUCCUGCUGCUUUCUCACAUGCGGUUUCUGUUUCUCUUUUUCUUGGAUAGUGUUCUUCUCUCUUAGAAUCAUAGUCUGGUCAGGCUGCUUGUGCUGUCAAAUUUGAACUACUUAUUAGGGUUGAUUUCUAUGCCACUAAUGCCUACUGCCUUCUCCACGCAUCUAGCGGAGUACAAGACGUCCUCCUCCUCGAUGCAGCCAUUCCCAACGAGCUCUCUUUGCCGGAAGAGGUGCAGAAGCAAGUCCAGCACCCCCUUCGCCCCUGCAUCCUGUCCUACAUCGCCUGGACGAGCUCACUGAUGGUUGCAUCCUUACCUCCUAGCGUGAUGUGGACUUUAAUUAUGCUCCUGUUGUUUUCUAGUCAAAUAAGCACAGUGGAGUUUACUACCAACUCUUGAUCUAUUGUGACAUAUUUUUCAUCAUGUGGCAUAUAUUGGUUUAUGGGAGCAUUUUCAACAACAAAGAUAUGACGAGCGGAUCCACGGCCAGGAAUGCGGGGUCCCUUGGUUGUACGACGAGCAUUGUGCGUUGCUUGAUGGGUGUGGUGCUGGCUGUAGAGUAGCAUAGUGUUCUCUAAGGCAUGCCUGUGGAAUUAAUCUUUUUUGGGUUCUUUUUUUGCUCCUGUACAGGUGUAUCUUGGCUGUGUUUAUGUCAUUUUUUUGUUUUUAAGGAUCUGAGCAUAUAUUUUCUGUUAAAUUA